rnacentral:rRNA from 1 species
UACGGAGGGUGCAAGCGUUGUCCGGAUUUAUUGGGUUUAAAGGGUGCGUAGGCGGUCUUUUAAGUCAGUGGUGAAAUCCUCCAGCUCAACUGGAGAACUGCCAUUGAUACUGGAAGACUUGAGUAUAGAAGAGGAAAGUGGAAUUCCAAGUGUAGCGGUGAAAUGCGUAGAGAUUUGGAGGAACACCAGUGGCGAAGGCGACUUUCUGGUCUGUAACUGACACUGAGGCGCGAAAGCGUGGGGAGCGAACAGG